UCCCACAUGGCCUCGCUCACGUGUCUGGUGGCUGCUGCUCGCUGUUGGCUGGGGCUCCCGGGUUCUCCUGCACGUGAGCCACCAUCUUCUGAGCAAGUCCCAAGACCAAUUCAUACUCAAGGGCUAGAGAAAUAGACUCACCCUCUUGGGAGAAACCACAACAGGUUUGUGGCCAUUUAUAUCCACCAUGGAAAAGUAGGCUGUACUCAAAUCACGUAUGGCUUUGUGAGCGAAGCAAAGGAUUUAGAAUUUUCUAUAAUGGUCUGCUUGGAUAAUCAAUGCCAUUUCUUUAUUUCAAAACAAAGUUCUAAUAAACUUUCCCUUGAACAUA